rnacentral:rRNA from 1 species
UACAGGGGGGGCAAGCGUUGUUCGGAAUUACUGGGCGUAAAGGGCUCGUAGGCGGCCAACUAAGUCCGACGUGAAAUCCCAAAGCUUAACUUUGGAACUGCGUCGGAUACUGGAUGGCUUGAAUUCGGGAGAGGGAUGCAGAAUUCCAGGUGUAGCGGUGAAAUGCGUAGAUAUCUGGAGGAAUACCGGUGGCGAAGGCGGCAUCCUGGACCGACAUUGAUGCUGAUGAGCGAAAGCUAGGGGAGCAAACGGG